rnacentral:snoRNA from 1 species
CGGUCAAGGAUGACUAGCCCACUGCGCAAUCCGACCUCUAAUGAGCACGUGAUGGAGACAGUGCUGAGCGAAGGCUGAGCCG